GAUUAACGCUGGCGGCGUGCAUAACACAUGCCAGUCGAACGAUGAAACUUUAAUGAACCCUUCGGGGAGAAUUAAAGCGGAUUAGUGGCGAACGGGUGAGUAACGCGUGAGUAACCUGCCUUACACAAGGGGAUAGCCUUUGGAAACGAAGAAUAAUAUCCUAUAAAACCAUAAAAGCACAUGCAAUUAUGGUCAAAGUGAUAGCGGUGUAAGAUGGACUUGCGUCUGAUUAGCUAGUUGGUGAGAUAAAAGCCCACCAAGGCAACGAUCAGUAGCCGGCUUGAGAGAGUGUACGGCCACAUUGGGACUGAGACACGGCCCAGACUCCUACGGGAGGCAGCAGUGGGGAAUUUUGCACAAUGGGGGAAACCCUGAUGCAGCGACGCCGCGUGAUUUAGAGGGCCUUCGGGUUGUAAAAAUCUUUUGUAUAGGAAGAAAAUGACAGUACUAUACGAAUAAGGUCCGGCUAAUUACGUG
rnacentral:rRNA from 1 species